UACGUAGGGGGCAAGCGUUGUCCGGAUUUAUUGGGCGUAAAGGGCGUGUAGGCGGCCAUGUAGGUCCGUUGUGAAAACUCGAGGCUCAACCUCGAGACGCCGAUGGAAACCAUGUGGCUAGAGUCCGGAAGAGGAGAGUGGAAUUCCUGGUGUAGCGGUGAAAUGCGCAGAUAUCAGGAAGAACACCCGUGGCUAAGGCGGCUCUCUAGUACGGUACUGACGCUGAGACGCGAAAGCGUGGGGAGCAAACAGG
rnacentral:rRNA from 1 species